AAUUUUCUCACAUUAAUGCUAGUGAUGGGCUAUCUGAAGCCAGGCUUCGAGGCUCGUACCGAGUAAUAAGGGGGCGUGUACGAUGAAGCCCCGCUUCGAGGCUUAUGUCUUCUUGUUGAAAACCACGUGACUGGCAAUAAACGAGGCCUCGCAUUGCAUGGGUCAUGUGACUGCUUCAUUUUG